CCUACGGGAGGCAGCAGUGAGGAAUAUUGGUCAAUGGGCGCGAGCCUGAACCAGCCAAGUAGCGUGAAGGAUGACUGCCCUACGGGUUGUAAACCUCUUUUGCCGGGGAGCAACGGGCGUCACGUGUGGCGCCACUGAGAGUACCCGGAGAAAAAGCAUCGGCAAACUCCGUGCCAGCAGCCGCGGUAAUACGGAGGAUGCGAGCGUUAUCCGGAUUUAUUGGGUUUAAGGGGUGCGUAGGCGGAUCGUUAAGUCAGUGGUCAAAUUGAGGGGCUCAACCCCUUCCCGCCAUUGAAACUGGCGUUCUUGAGUGGAAGAGAAGUAUGCGGAAUGCGUGGUGUAGCGGUGAAAUGCAUAGAUAUCACGCAGAACCCCGAUUGCGAAGGCAGCAUGCCGGCUUCCGACUGACGCUGAAGCACGAAAGCGUGGGGAUCGAACAGGAUUAGAUACCCCAGUAGUC
rnacentral:rRNA from 1 species